GACGAACGCUGGCGGCGUGCCUAAUACAUGCAAGUCGAGCGAAUCUUGAGGUGCUUGCACCUCUUGGUUAGCGGCGGACGGGUGAGUAACACGUGGGCAACCUGCCUGUAAGACUGGGAUAACUUCGGGAAACCGGAGCUAAUACCGGAUAAUCCUUUUCCUCUCAUGAGGAAAAGCUGAAAGUCGGUUUCGGCUGACACUUACAGAUGGGCCCGCGGCGCAUUAGCUAGUUGGUGAGGUAACGGCUCACCAAGGCGACGAUGCGUAGCCGACAGGAGAGGGUUAUCGGCCACACUGGGACUGAGACACGGCCCAGACUCCUACGGGAGGCAGCAGUAGGGAAUCUUCCGCAAUGGACGAAAGUCUGACGGAGCAACGCCGCGUGAGCGAUGAAGGCCUUCGGGUCGUAAAGCUCUGUUGUUAGGGAAGAACAAGUAUCGGAGUAACUGCCGGUACCUUGACGGUACCUAACCAGAAAGCCACGGCUAACUACGUGCCAGCAGCCGCGGUAGGAC
rnacentral:rRNA from 1 species